AUGGCCCAGCCUAUACCUGAAAUAUGGCAUAACCGAAAUAUCCUACCCAAAGUAUUCUACCUGUUAAAAUAUGGCCUAGCUAGGUAUUGUAACCUAGCCGAAAUGUCAUACCCGAACUAUAUGUCUUACCCGACUAAUAUGGCAUACCUGAUUCACUAUGUCCUAACCGACCAUAAGGUACGACCUGAAUACAUGUGCUUCUCCCUCACUCCCCAACACAAGGACUACUCAGUCUAG
rnacentral:lncRNA from 1 species